rnacentral:lncRNA from 1 species
GUAAAUAAACAAAAAUAAAAUAUAAUUACAAUAAUAAUAAUACUAUAUUAAUAAAAUAAUAAUAAUAAAAGGAAUAAAAACAAUGUUAAUAACAAGAAUAUUAAUAAUAGUAACAAUAAAAAAUAUAAAUAAUAAUAUUAAUAAUAUUAGAAAUGAUAAUAAUAAUAUUUAAUAAAAAACGAAAAUAAACAAAAAAAGGACUAAAAUUGAAUUAAAACAGAGUUUUGGGGUAAAUUUAAAAAGAAAUAAAGGGAAAAGAACCAAAAUGAACACGCAUGCAACCUGCAAGGACCAAAACGGAUAUUAUUCCUUCCCCUCAAAACGCAGCGCAACACGGGGGACCAAAUUGCAGAGCAUAACAAAUUUCGGGGCCAAAUUAAAAAUAAUGAAAAAUUUGAUUUUAAAAGGAUAAAAAUCGGAGGGGCUAAAAGUGAAAUUAGCCCCUUUUAAAAAAAGACGCGGAUCCUGAGGUGGGUCGGGUCGAAUCGGGUUGGACCAAGGGGUAAAACGACGUCGUUUGGGUGUUUAAGGCCACUCCCAAAACGACGUCGUUUUAGUGGCCUAUAUAAACCCAAUUUUUUUAAAAAAAUUCAUUUCUUCUCUGUUUCAAAAAAAAAAAAAAUUUCCUUCUUCCUCUCUGUUCUCUGCAAAGGCCAACGCUCCGGUGGGAAGUCCGACUAGUUGCCGCCGUCAGCCAUCGCACGCGGUGGCCGGAAUCCCAAAAGGUACGUUUUUGUUUUUAUUUUUAUUUUUUUGUAUUAUAUUUUUUAUGUAUUUGUAAUAUAUGUAUUCAUGCAAAUGAAUAAAUUCGAAAAUAAAAAAAAUAAAUAAAUAAAAAAUAAAAUCACCUUAGGUUUUGGGUUUGAUUUUCAGUAUUUUUUUUUUCUGAUUUGAGACUAUCCCCUUGUUUUGGUGUUGCUAAAGUCACUAUUUCACUUGUAUUAAAAUCGAAUGCUUCGUAUUUUUAAAAAAAAUUUGCCGAAAAAAAAUCCUCCAUAAUGGUUUUAGAUUUGGCUUUUUAUAGCCAUUUACAUGAUUUUUAUAUUAUUUGAUGUCUUCUAUGUGUUUGCAGGUACAAGUUGGACAGUGACAAGGGCGGUGGAGUGCUGCAGGCGUGGCUAGUGAAGUUGGUGGUGGCAAAGGCGAGGAGCGGCGGCUAGGGUUUUGUUGUUUUGUUGUUUUAUUUUUUUUUUUGGGCUAGGUGGGCUAGAUCUUUGUUGUUUAGGCUUAGUUGGUUUAGGUCUGCUUAUUUUGGGCCUGGACAAAUUAAGGUUCUUACAAUUCUUUAAUCUCUGAUUUUUUCUAAAUGAGUAUAGCUUGAUAAGCAUAUGCACUAUGAUUAAGCAUGAAUUAAAGAUAAUAAAGUAAUCAGGAAUAUAGCUAGUUACUUGAGUAGUAAUUAAUAUCAAUGUGAAAAUGGUUUCCCUGAAAUCAUGUUCCACGCCCAAAUAUUGACAUUUAAUUUGUAUUCAUGGAAGUGUGUAUAUCUCCUAGUACUCUAUUUCAUCCCAUUGAAGAGAUAACUUGUUAGAAGAUCACUUAAUUAAUUUGAAAGUAAGAAAAUAGCGAAAACAAAGAAUAUUUCAAAUUUCCAACUUCUUAUAAAAUCUAGUAUCAACAUCCCAAAAUUUUGUAAUAUUUGAGUCCUUUUGUGAUAUUCAUUAUGUGAGUAAAAAAUAUUUAAAAACAAAGAUAUAUUUAUCUUUAAAAUUAUAAAGCUUAGUUUUUCUUUUGAGCAUUGGUUGAGGCUUUUUUGUUGAUGCCUUGAGGGUCAAUGUUCAAAUCUUGAUACGGUAUUUUCAGUAUUUUUUUAAAUAAUUAUUUUAUGGGUAAACUAUAUAAACAGACACUCAAUUAUUAGUGUUUUUUUUUUGUUUUGAUCACUUAAGUUUAAAAAAUUUCUUUUUUAGUAACUAACAUUAUUGAAAUUUAAUAUUUUGACCACUCUUCUGUUAAAUCACUAACAGGAUGUUGGGGUGACCUUUUUUAUUGGAAAAAUAACAAAUUUAGCCUUCUAAUAUUUACAGAUUCUAUCAAUUUUGUACCAAUUCUGAAAAUUUUAACAAAUUUAACCUUCAACUUUACAAUUAUGUCAAUUUAGUCUUGACUCUUAAAAAAAUCAAAUUUAAAAAUUUUUAGAAAAUAAAAAUUUUAAAAAUUUAUUUUCGAUGAAAAUAUGUUAAGGUUUUUUUACAAAUACAAAAUUAUAAGAUAUUUAUAAUUAUAAAACAAUUUAAGGGGAAAAACCAUGAAGAAGAUUUAAACAAAUUCAACUUUUCCCUCUUUUUCUUUUUUUCAAUAUUAACAACAACCAUUUCAUGCUAGGUUAAAAACUAUAGCCUAAGGUCGAAAAUGGUAAAAAUCGAUGUCUUUAGGUUGUUGCCCAAAAUGAAUUUGUCAAGUUUGAGGUUGUGCUUGAGGGUGAGCAUGAUUAGGGAUAUAGGUGAGGGUGAUGUCUCAGUGACUUAGUAGGUGGAAGGCCAUGCCGGUAGCUCCACAAUCAAUUCCUAACUUGAUGGCAUGAUGACUAAGGAUGUGGAAAUCGAGGAGUUCAAAGUAAGGGUUUUGUGUCAGUGGUUGUGGGCAAAAGCAAUGCCCAGGACUCCGCAGAUUUGGCAAGGACUAAGGAAAAGGGCAUAACAUAUAAUAAAUAAAUUAUUAUUUAUAAAAUAAAACCAAAAAUGUUAAAAAUUAUAAAAAAUAUUUUUAAAAAUUAAAAAUCAUUCAAAUUAUUAAAAGAAGUAUAAAAACUAUUUUAAAAAACAUAUUUUUAAAUUUUAAAAAAUUAGUUAAAUGUUGACAGGUCAUCCACGUGACAGUCUACGUGUAUGCUACAUCAACGAAGUUAACAAAAGUUAACAUUUUCAUCAAUUUUAGGGUGAUUUGACAAAAAAUGUAACUUCAAUGACUAAAAGAAGAGAAAAAUUAAAUGGUGGACUAAAAUGAAUUUUUUUUUGUAAAACCGGAAAGUAAAAAGAAAACAUAAUGCCUUUUUCAUAUGGAAAGAAAAGAAAAAUAUUUCAAUUCUUGUACUUUAUUGGAUGGUAUCGUUCUUGUCGAAACCAUUUUCAAAUCGAGUUUUGGAAAAUGGGAAUCGAUUUUAAAAAACGCAAACAGGAGUCGCCACCAAUCUUUUUAGGUGUGAUUGGAUCACCUUUAAAACAUUUUGUUUUAAAAUCAUUAGUUUUGGUCCACGAAAUAAAAGAAUGGGUUCGGGAGUCGGUUACGUACGAGGAAGGAUUAGCACCCUCGUAACGCCCAAAAAUUGGUACCUAAUUGAUUAUCAAAUGUCUUUAAUGUCGGAAAUUUAAAAAAUUUUAAGAUAUAAUCCUCUUUAAAAUACUUUGAUUUUGAAAAUUUGGGUUCACUCGUAUCAAAACAUUGUCACUAAGUUAAACUUUUGGAAAUCCCUAUCUCGAAACGACAAAUCGCCACAUCCAAUAAGUUAGGACACAACGCUUUGAAAUUCCAAGACAGUUGCUCGUAUUUUGAAAAUCUUAAAAAACUUAGAAGGGUACUUGACUAUUCGAACUCAACGAGAAAAGUUGCAACCCAAUAAGUUAGGGCACUACUUUUCUCGAAGCUUUCAAAUACUAAGCAUUGCCUUUUUUUAUUUUUAUAAAACUUUUAAAUAUUGUUUUAAAUGACCUUUUAGAGUGACAAUUCUAUAUUAUGAAACAUAGAUAUUCAAAUAGCGUUUAUUAUAAAGUAUUAUAACACUUUAUAUAAAUGCAAUCACUAUAUAGAGGGUAAAAUAGAAUAAUAAAAAUAAUCAUGCUAAGCAAAUAGGAAUAUACCAAAAAGAAAACAUAAUAAAUGCACUAAUU